rnacentral:lncRNA from 1 species
GUAAUCCCAGCUACUCGGGAGGCUGAGGCAGGAGAAUUGCUUGAACCCAGGAGGCGGAGGUUGCAGUGAGCCGAGAUCGCAGCAUUGCACUCCAGCCUGGGCAACAAGAGUGAAACUCUGUCUCAGAAAAGAAAAAAAAAAAAAAAAAAAAAACUAGCCAGGGGCAUAUCGGGUGGUGCUGUCUUCUAGUCUUUCCAAGCAUGAACUGGGAGGAGCUGGAGAAGGCUUUGCAAGGCUUCCCUUGGGUUGGGUUGCACUGCCCAGGCAGGAGGGAAAGGCAGCAUUGAUAUAUUGAUCACCUGCGACACAUCAGGUGCUCUCAUGUUCGUUUCCCGCUUCAUCCCCUAUCCAUGCUGCCGGAUGGGUGGUAACUGUGGACAGAUGGAAGCAGAGACUCAGGGAGGUAGAAGGGCUUCUCUGAGGUCACACCUGGCUGCACCUGGUUUGCUCCCCCAUGCUGUCUGUUUUGCCCAA